GAUCCUGGCUCGGGAUGAACGCUAGCGACAGGCUUAACACAUGCAAGUCGAGGGGCAGCACAGGUAGCAAUACCGGGUGGCGACCGGCGCACGGGUGAGUAACGCGUAUGCAACUUACCUAUCAGAGGGGGAUAACCCGGCGAAAGUCGGACUAAUACCGCAUGAAGCAGGGGUCCCGCAUCGGGAUAUUUGCUAAAGAUUCAUCGCUGAUAGAUAGGCAUGCGUUCCAUUAGG
rnacentral:rRNA from 1 species